rnacentral:rRNA from 1 species
GAUGAACGCUGGCGGCGUGCCUAAUACAUGCAAGUCGAGCGAACAGAUGAGGAGCUUGCUCCUCUGACGUUAGCGGCGGACGGGUGAGUAACUCGUGGAUAACCUACCUAUAAGACGGGGAUAACUUCGGGAAACCGGAGCUAAUACCGGAUAAUAUAUUGAACCGCAUGGUUCAAUAGUGAAAGACGGUUUUGCUGUCACUUAUAGAUGGAUCCGCGCCGCGUUAGCUAGUUGGUAAGGUAACGGCUUACGAAGGCAACGAUGCGUAGCCGACCUGAGAGGGUGAUCGGGCACACUGGAACUGAGACACGGUCCCGACUCCUAGGGGAGGCAGCAGUAGGGAAUCUUCCGCAAUGGGCGAAAGCCUGACGGAGCAACGCCGCGUGAGUGAUGAAGGUCUUCGGAUCGUAAAACUCUGUUAUUAGGGAAGAACAAAUGUGUAAGUAACUAUGCACGUCUUGACGGUACCUAAUCAGAAAGCCACGGCUAACUACGUG